rnacentral:lncRNA from 1 species
UUCCAUAUCAAUGUCCUCAGUUUUCAUCCCAUCAGGCAAUCUCCAGUCAAAGAAGUAAAGCAAACUCAACAUUGCCAAUUCUAAACCAGGAAUCGCCAUUGACAUUCCUGGACACAUCCUUCGACCAGACCCAAACGGUAAUAAAUUAAAAUUUUGCCCUUUAUAGUCUAUAGAACUAUUGACAAACCGUUCAGGGAUGAAAUCUUCGGGGUCAGUCCAUUGCUUAGGGUCACGUCCGAUCGUCCAUGUGUUGAUUUGAAUGGGUGUAUUUGGGGGAAUAUCGUAG